UAAGGAAUAUUGGUCAAUGGAGGGAACUCUGAACCAGCCAUCCCGCGUGCAGGAUGAAGGGGCUCUGCCCUGUAAACUGCUUUUGAAUGGGACGAAAAAGCCUCACUUGUGAGGAACUGACGGUACCAUUAGAAUAAGCACCGGCUAACUCCGUGCCAGCAGCCGCGGUAAUACGGAGGGUGCAAGCGUUAUCCGGAAUCACUGGGUUUAAAGGGUGCGUAGGCGGUUGUAUAAGUCAGUGGUGAAAGGCCGUAGCUUAACUAUGGGAUUGCCAUUGAUACUGUAUGACUUGAAUGAGGUUGAGGUUGGCGGAAUGUGGCAUGUAGCGGUGAAAUGCUUAGAUAUGCCAUGGAACAUCGAUUGCGAAGGCAGCUGACUGGACCUGAAUUGACGCUGAGGCACGAAAGCGUGGGGAGCGAACAGG
rnacentral:rRNA from 1 species